UACGAAGGGGACUAGCGUUGUUCGGAAUCACUGGGCGUAAAGCGCACGUAGGCGGAUUCGUAAGUUAGAGGUGAAAGCCCGGAGCUUAACUCCGGAACUGCCUUUAAGACUGCAUCGCUAGAAUCGUGGAGAGGUGAGUGGAAUUCCGAGUGUAGAGGUGAAAUUCGUAGAUAUUCGGAAGAACACCAGUGGCGAAGGCGACUCACUGGACACGUAUUGACGCUGAGGUGCGAAAGCGUGGGGAGCAAACAGG
rnacentral:rRNA from 1 species